AUUGACCGCUGGCGGCAGGCCUAACACAUGCAAGUCGAACGAGUGGCGGACGGGUGAGUAAUGUCUGGGAAACUGCCUGAUGGAGGGGGAUAACUACUGGAAACGGUAGCUAAAACCGCAUACCAUCGGAUGUGCCAAGAUGGGAGUAGAUAGUAGGUGGGGUAAAGGCUAACCUAGGCGACGAUCCCUAGAGGGUCUGAGAGGAUGACCAGCCACCCUGGAACUGAGACACGGUCCAGACUCCUACGGGAGGCAGAAGUGGGGAAUAUUGCACAAUGGGCGCAAGCCUGAUGCAGCCAUGCCGCGUGUAUGAAGAAGGCCGUCGGGUUGUAAAGUACUUUCAGCGGGGAGGCGUUACCCGCAGAAGAAGCACCGGCUAACUCCGUGCCAGCCGCCGCGGUAAUUC
rnacentral:rRNA from 1 species